AAAACCUGGGCAGUGCGGAGAAAGUGCCUGCACAUGAGGAGGUUGCUGCUGCAGCUGCAGCUGCUGCAGCUGCAGCUUCUGCAGCUGAUGGUGCCGAUGCCGCCUCCGCUCCGGCAGCCAUUGUGGACA
rnacentral:ribozyme from 1 species